GUUAUUCCGGCUGGUCAUCCUAAGGCGGCGCCCGGCCAGCGUCGUCAGCAUCUUCUCCGGGCAGCCAGCAGGUGGAGCAAGAGAGGACCUGAAGAGAGCGCACACUUGGAAGAAGUAGGAUCUGGGGCACUUUGAAGACGAGACUUAAAGCCAUGCAAAGAGCUGUGGUUUCUGCAGUGAAAACUGGCCAAUCCUGGAUCUGUGGCCAGCCUCGGGGAGUCGGGUGGAAGCCCAGCCAGCAUCUCCAGGUACUCCCCUCAUCCUUUGCUAUUGAUCUAAGCUCGUUCCAUCAACCAUGCUCUGCAGCCGCGGCCAGUCCUCUCCGUGCAGCCAAGCAAGGAGCUUCAUGAAUGUCAACCAAGAAAGGAUGUCUGCCUGUGAAAUAUAACUGUGCUGACCACCAUCCCGAUGGUCCCACAUGGACCCACCUGUGGUACCUACAGGCCUUUUAAAAUAGAGGAUGGUCUUCUUCCUUCCA